GAUGAAGAACGCAGCGAAAUGCGAUAAUUAAUGUGAAUUGCAGAAUUCCGUGAAUAAUCGAGUCUUUGAACGCACAUUGCGCCUCAUGGCAUUCCGUGAGGCAUGCCCAUCUCAGCGUUAGAAAAUAUUCUCAAAUUUUAGUUUUGUGCUAAAAUUUGGAUCAUGUCAAGGAAGCUAUUACUAUUAUUGUGAUCGCUCUUUGGAAAUUGAUAGGUCUUUGAGUUGCUACUCAUAGAACGUGAUGAAUCUUUCUUCGUUCUAUUGUAAUUCACUCUGGUAGUCCUAAAACUUGUAUGCCUGUGGCAUAUCUUGUAAUUUGACCUGAGAUUGGGUAGGGAUACCCGCUGAACUUAAGCAUAUCAAUAAGCGGAGGA
rnacentral:misc_RNA from 1 species